rnacentral:lncRNA from 1 species
UUUUGAUUUUAAUUUCUAUUUUAUUUCUUUUAUUCCAUUUCAUUUCAAAAAAUCAUAUCUCAUUCAUUAUUGGUCUAAAAAAUGUGAGACCAAUUGCAUUAUUUCUCUUUUAAUCUCUAGUUUCUAAAAAUGAUUUUUAAUAUUUUUUAUUUUAUAAUUUGAUAUUUUUUAUGAAUUUUCUCUUUUCUGGUUAUUUUUAAUUCAUUUUAAAUAGUUUUUGAUAUUCAAA